CCUACGGGUGGCAGCAGUGAGGAAUAUUGGUCAAUGGGCGCGAGCCUGAACCAGCCAAGUAGCGUGAAGGAUGAAUGCCCUACGGGUUGUAAACUUCUUUUAUAAAGGAAUAAAGUAAGGCACGUGUGCUUUUUUGUAUGCACUUUAUGAAUAAGGAUCUGCUUACUCCGUGCCAGCAGCCGCGGUAAUACGGAGGAUCCGAGCGUUAUCCGGAUUUAUUGGGUUUAAAGGGAGCGUAGAUGGGGUGUUAAGUCAGUUGUGAAAGUUGGCGGCUCAACCGUAAAAUUGCAAUUGAUACUGGCAGCCUUGAGUACAGUUGAGGUAGGCGGAAUUCGUGGUGUAGCGGUGAAAUGCGUAGAUAUCACGAAGAACUCCGAUUGCGAAGGCAGCUUACUAAACUGCCACUGACAUUGAUGCUCGAAAGUGUGGGUAUCAAACAGGAUUAGAUACCCUGGUAGUC
rnacentral:rRNA from 1 species